UUGCUCCAUUCCCUUUAGAGAAUGUGGUAGCAGUAUGUGAUAAGUCUGAAAGAAGACAAAAUUAUUACCAUGAAGGUAUCAAUGAAUAUGGACGUGUCAAAGAAUUAAAAUUCCGUCCAAUUGAAUUUGCUCCAUUCCCUUUAGAGAAUGUGAUACCAUUAUGUGAUAAGUCUGAAAGAAGACAAAAUUAUUACCGUGAAGGUAUCAAUGGAUGAGGACGUG
rnacentral:lncRNA from 1 species